AUGGCGGAGACGAAUCUCUCUGGCAAGGUAGGCAGGGGCUCGGUUACCUGUGAGGAUGUCCAUGGCAGAAUUAGAGAGAGAGAGAGAGAGGGAGGAGAUGACGCCAAGGAGAAGGGAAAAAGGAGAGGGGCGCAAGGGAGAAGGCGCGGGGUCGGCCUGGAACCUGCUGUGGCCGACGAGGAUGCUGCUGGUCUCGAGCACAAGAGGAGGGAGGAGCUCGGGGAGGCUCAUCCCCUGAUGAAGAUGAGGCCAUGGCGACGCUGUCAAGGAGGCAACGAGCAAGGAGCACGGGCAGGGGAUCCAGGGGCGCGGUCCCGUUGGAGCUCGAGGGAGGCAGCUGUUCGAGGGGAUGGCUGCCUGCGGGUUGAAUCUGGCAGCGACGAGGGGGUGGGGGGGUUGGUCCGGUUGGAAAAAUCAAGGGGGGAUUUUUGGACUUGGAGAGAUCCCGAGGUGGGAGAUAGUGCGGCGGCGGUGGCAGGGACAAAUCCCCUAGAUUUUAGGGUUGGCUUGAUUGGAUAG
rnacentral:rRNA from 1 species